CUGACGUGGCGUUUCUAGGCAGGUAACUAGGAAGUGAACGCGCUGAAGCUCCUCCUCCCACGUGUAUCCGCAGGAACCGGCGGCGGCGUGACGCGGGUGGAAGAAACCGACUGACCGAAACCGGCGGACCGGAGAGAGACAGUCAGGACUGAAGAUGGCAGAUGAUCCGAGCGCGGCGGACAGAAAUGUGGAGAUCUGGAAGAUCAAGAAACUCAUCAAGAGUCUGGAAGCGGCGAGAGGUAAUGGGACCAGCAUGAUCUCGCUCAUCAUUCCUCCUAAAGAUCAGAUCUCCAGAGUGGCCAAGAUGUUGGCUGAUGAGUUCGGUACAGCUUCAAACAUCAAGAGUCGAGUGAACCGGCUGUCGGUGCUGGGAGCCAUUACUUCAGUCCAGCAGAGACUCAAACUCUACAACAAAGUGCCCCAUAAUGGUCUGGUGGUUUACUGCGGCACCAUAGUGACAGAAGAAGGAAAAGAAAAGAAAGUCAACAUUGACUUUGAGCCAUUCAAACCCAUCAACACCUCUCUGUACCUCUGUGAUAACAAGUUCCACACCGAGGCUCUGACGGCGUUAUUGUCAGACGACAGUAAGUUUGGAUUCAUAGUCAUUGAUGGUAGUGGAGCUCUGUUCGGGACUCUGCAGGGAAACACCAGAGAAGUGCUGCACAAAUUCACUGUGGACCUGCCCAAAAAACACGGAAGAGGAGGCCAGUCUGCGCUGCGUUUCGCUCGAUUAAGGAUGGAGAAGAGACAUAAUUACGUGAGGAAGGUGGCAGAGACGGCCGUGCAGCUCUUCGUGUCCAAUGAUAAAGUCAACGUGGCUGGACUGGUGCUGGCCGGAUCCGCAGAUUUCAAAACAGAGCUCAGCCAAUCAGACAUGUUCGACCCGAGGUUACAGGCGAAAGUGUUGAAGCUGGUCGACAUCUCUUACGGAGGAGAAAACGGCUUCAAUCAGGCCAUCGAACUGUCCGCUGAGGUCCUGUCCAAUGUCAAAUUCAUGCAGGAGAAAAAAUUAAUAGGGCGAUACUUCGAUGAGAUCAGUCAGGACACAGGGAAGUAUUGUUUCGGUGUGGAGGACACACUGAAGGCGCUGGAAAUGGGAGCCGGUGAAAUUCUCAUUGUCUAUGAAAACUUAGAGACGAUGAGAUAUGUCCUGAGGUUGCACGGCGCGGAGGUCAACGGCUCGGAGAAUGAUGAGAAAGUCAUUUAUUUGACCCCAGAACAAGAGAAGGACAAAUCGCACUUCAUAGACAAAGAGAAGAGCCACCAAAUGAAGAUAUGCAACGGGUCAGGAACACGAGCUCAUCGAGUGCAUGCCGCUGCUGGAGUGGUUCGCCAACAGCUAUAAGAAGUUUGGAGCGACUCUGGAGAUCGUGACGGAUAAAAGUCAGGAGGGAUCGCAGUUCGUCAAGGGCUUCGGAGGAAUCGGAGGUAUUUUGCGGUACCGAGUGGAUUUCCAGGGGUUGGAAUACCAGGGAGAAGAUGAGGAAUUUUUUGAUUUGGAUGACUACUAGGUAGUCAAGACUGAGCUAGAGAGAAAUCAAUGAAGAUUUGAGGAAUCAUUGGGAAAAAAAUAGUUCUUUCUUACCAAAUACUCAAAAACACAGAGCUUGAGAAGUGUGUCGUCUGUCAGUCAAAUGAAGGACAGAACCGUUCAUGAAUAAUUAAACAGCCCAGGUUUUAGAGCAUUCUGAUUGGACGGGAUUCAUUUGUUUAUUCUCUUCCCCUGUUUGAAUUAAAGUCGCAGUAACCUUCUGACUGUUUGGACUCGAUUUGAAAUGUUUAUUUUUCUUUUUAUCCUCUGUUUCCUGUUCUUCUCAUCACAACUUUUUCCACCAUAAAUCCACAACUAGUUUUCUUCCUUUUUUAUUAUUAUUGGCGAUAGCUGCUGCUGUAUUUUGACAGUCUGGUAUUUUUACAUGGGUUUCUGUAAUGAAUGGGGGAAAACAAAAUAAAUUUGAAUUCUGAAGUAA